rnacentral:rRNA from 1 species
AUUGAACGCUGGCGGCAGGCCUAACACAUGCAAGUCGAACGAGUGGCGGACGGGUGAGUAAUGUCUGGGAAACUGCCCGAUGGAGGGGGAUAACUACUGGAAACGGUAGCUAAUACCGCAUACCAUCGGAUGUGCCCAGAUGGGAUUAGCUAGUAGGUGGGGUAACGGCUCACCUAGGCGACGAUCCCUAGCUGGUCUGAGAGGAUGACCAGCCACACUGGAAAUGAGACACGGGCCAGACUCCGACGGGAGGCAGCAGGGGGGAAUAUUGCACAAUGGGCGCAAGCCGGAUGCAGCCAUGCCGCGUGUAGGAAGAAGGCCUUAGGGUUGUAAAGUACUUUCAGCGAGGAGGCGUUACUCGCAGAAGAAGCACAGGCUAACUCCGUGCCAGCCGCCGCGGUAAUAC